GUAGAUGCGAAAUCAAGAUUAUUAUUAUUAAUCUCAAUAACAAAUAUAUAAAAUUCCAUGCAUAAAUUCCAGAUUGAAGAAUUUUCUUAUUAAAAGUGUUAUUAUUGAAUAUGGUUUUGUCCAGUUUAAUAAAAUUAGGUCUUCAUUUACUCGGAAUUUUAAAAGAAAUUUCUGAACUAAUCAUCAAAAUUCUUCUUAUUUUCUUCCCCAAGAAAUGUUGCUACAAAAAUUUAGACAAAGAAAUAGUUUUGAUCACGGGAGGAGGCGACGGUCUCGGACGUUGUUUGGCUAUAAAAUUUGCAUCGUUAGGGUGUAAAGUGGUCAUUUGGGACAUAAACGAAAACGGAAAUCGCCAAACUGAACAAUUAGUGAAGAGUAGCGGAGGAGGCGAAUGUUAUUCCUAUGUCUGUGACGUCACCGAUAGAACGAAGGUAUACGAAACGGCUGGACGAGUGAAAGAUGACGUGGGUCCUGUAACCAUACUGAUCAACAACGCCGGAUUUGUCAGUUUUCAAAAAUUACUCGACAAUCCCGAUCACCUGAUAGAGAAGACUUUUCAAGUUAAUGCGAUUUCCCAUUUUUGGACGUGCAAAGCAUUCCUGCCCGAUAUGAUUUCUAUGCAACGUGGACACGUAGUUAGCAUUACGAGUUUAGCAGCAUACGGAAUAGUUGAGAAAUUGAGCGAUUAUUGCGCUAGUAAGGCCGCUGCUACCACUUUAUUCGAAGCAUUAACAUUAGAGCUGAACAUGGAAGGCCGUUCGUACAUUCACACUAGUCUCGUUUUAACGUAUAUGCUGACUACUCCGAUGUUUGAAGGUGUUAAGCCUAUAAUUCCUGCAAUUCGGAGUGAUAUUGCUGCUGAGAAGAUUGCGAAUGGUGUAUUGCAAAAGAAAUCCCUUAUAAUUGUUCCGGAAUGGUUUCCUUAUUUACCUUUAGUUAAAUGGUUUGUAUUUAUUAUCAAUAUUUUGAAACAAUUGGAAUCGACAUAUUUCCCAAUUUUUCAAAUAUUCAAGAUAUAUCAAUGGCAUUUACAUUGUUUUGAAUAUAUUUCAGUGUGUUUUCUUGGAAGCUUUAUUACAUAUUCUAUAAACUGCUGAAAGUGAAUUCUGCAAUAGAAACCUUUAAAGGAAGAACAUAAGAAGUGUAUUUGAAACGCGACAUAUGGGCGAUCUGCCAAGGGGGUGCCUCCCGGGAAGUCUUUAAUGUGAAACCUCAC